UACGGAGGGUGCGAGCGUUGUUCGGAAUCACUGGGCGUAAAGGGCGUGUAGGCGGUCCUAAGUCUGAUGUGAAAGCCCGGGGCUCACCCCCGGAAGGGCAUUGGAAACUGGCGGACUCGAGUCCCGGAGAGGAAGGUGGAAUUCCUGGUGUAGCGGUGAAAUGCGUAGAUAUCAGGAGGAAUACCGGUGGCGAAGGCGGCCUUCUGGACGGUGACUGACGCUGAGACGCGAAAGCGUGGGGAGCAAACAGG
rnacentral:rRNA from 1 species